rnacentral:rRNA from 1 species
UCUAACAUGAGAGUUUGAUCCUGGCUCAGGAUGAACGCUGGCGGCGUGCUUAACACAUGCAAGUCGAACGAAGCAAUUUUCUACGAUCCCUUCGGGGUGACGGAUUAUUGACUGAGUGGCGGACGGGUGAGUAACGCGUGGGUAACCUACCUUGUACAGGGGGACAACAGUUGGAAACGACUGCUAAUACCGCAUAAGCGCACAGCAUCGCAUGAUGCAGUGUGAAAAGUUUUUUCGGUACAAGAUGGACCCGCGUCUGAUUAGCUAGUUGGUGAGGUAACGGCCCACCAAGGCGACGAUCAGUAGCCGACC